CCCUGUAUUUUCACACUUUUCGACCUGUAUAUCAGUGUAUACUUGUGUAUACAGCACAUACGCGACCUAUUUUGGCUUUUUCCGAACAUCUGUUUUCAAUUUCCAGUCCAUAUAAAAUUGUUGCUGACUCAAUGGAGAUAGUGUUGGGUUCCAAUCCAACCCGAGGUGCAAGGAGAGUAACAAAAGGGAGUCCAAUGGACUCAAAUCGAGGGAGUUCAUGC
rnacentral:lncRNA from 1 species